CGACAAAUCGCCCGACAACCAUUUUUGGCACAAAUGCCUUAAAACCAACAUUUUUGGCGACGAACGCCUAAUCGAAUCAAUCGAUCCUUUGGCAAAAUGCCUAAACAAACAUGCACAAAGCAUACACACACUCAUGCAUUAAGCAUACACCUUCAAAGCCCUUCAAAGAAGGCCUAUCGAACUACGUUGACUUUGAUCUUCCAUUCAAACGGAAGUACGUAGGCACGUUCGGGAUUU
rnacentral:lncRNA from 1 species